rnacentral:sRNA from 1 species
ACUUCCGCCCCCUCCGCCUGCCAUUGGAACUAGCUGAGCCGAACUAGUUGCGGCCACCGAGCAGCCGGCUCUCGGCACCUCCUCCUCCGCCUCCCUGUCUCCUGUUCCAUUCGCCUUUCCUCUUCUUUCCUGGCCCACGCCGCUCCGAGGCCUCGCGACCGCCGAGCCUGCAGCCUGCCCCGCGGCCAACAUGAGCUUCUUGUUUGGUAGUCGCUCUUCUAAAACUUUUAAACCAAAGAAGAACAUUCCAGAGGGUUCUCACCAGUAUGAGCUCUUAAAACACGCAGAAGCCACACUUGGCAGUGGCAACCUUCGGAUGGCUGUCAUGCUUCCUGAGGGGGAAGAUCUCAAUGAAUGGGUUGCAGUUAACACUGUGGAUUUCUUCAAUCAGAUCAACAUGCUUUAUGGAACUAUCACAGACUUCUGUACAGAAGAGAGUUGUCCAGUGAUGUCAGCUGGCCCAAAAUAUGAGUAUCAUUGGGCAGAUGGAACGAACAUAAAGAAACCUAUUAAGUGCUCUGCACCAAAGUAUAUUGAUUACUUGAUGACUUGGGUUCAGGACCAGUUGGAUGAUGAGACGUUAUUUCCAUCAAAAAUUGGUAUAAUUAAUUUUUGUAAGGGGGAUCCAUCAUGAUUUAUCUUUUAUAUGUUUAUAGAAUUUUCCUCCCUCUUUCCACUAUAUCUAGUUGGAGAGUUCUUUAUGGCUGUGUUGAUAUAUGUAUAUGUUACGCAGUUCCCAAGAAGAGGCACAAAAGUUUGUUAACCCAGUGGUAAAAUAAGCAAGUGAUCCUGUGUGAAUUGAGCUUUUCCCCUUUAACUUAGUGCUUUUAAAUGCAUAAUUAGCUGAAAGUAUAGGUUUAUUAGAAAAUAAAUGAUCUCCCUCUCUUAAGGUAAUUAUUUUUGAUGAUAUUCUAGAUUAAAGUAUCACUGAGUUUAUUUUCAGACAAUGAUAGCAUUUUUUAAUACUUUAAAAAAAAUUAUGAUCAUCAUUGAGAAUAAACUUACUUCCCUGAAGUAAGGGAAAGGCUUAAGAAGCCCUUUCAGUAGAAAGUUCUAGAUGGAGGGUUAUUCCCAUUCUAGGAACCAUGGUAAAUUACCAUACAUAACAUAUAUUUUUAAUCUUAUGCACUUACAGGUGUUCUGUGUUUUUCAUACCAAAUUUAUCAUGAACAUUAAGGUAAACCGUCUAUUUUAUUUUAUUUAUUUUAAUCUAAAUUUUUCAUUUUUUGGGAGACAAGAGUCUCUCUGUAUUGCCCAGGCUGGAGUGCAGUGGCGUGAUCUCGGCUCACUGCAACCUCCACCUCCCAGGUUCAAGUGAUUCUCUUGCCUCAGCAUCCUAAGUAACUGGGACUACAGACGCGUGCCACCACGCCCAGCUAAUUUUUUUGCAUUUUUAGUAGAGACAGGGUUUCACCAUGUUGGCCAGGCUGGUCUCGAACUCCUGACCUCAAGUGAUCUACCCACCUUGGCCUCCCAAAGUACUGGGAACCCUCUCUAUAAUUUUAAAUGAUGAGAUCAGUAUAUCUAGGAUAGUAACAAAAUCUGGCCCAAAAAAGAGAAUGGAUAUUGAGUAGAUAGCUAAUAACAUCUGCCACAGUUGUAUCUACUUAUUUAGGGAAGUUCAUAUGGCUUCUAUCCAGUGUUAUUUAGUAAUAUAUUUGUGAUCAAAAGGGAGUUUGAAUUUAUGACCCACAAUAUGAAUCUUACAGAUUCAGAUAUUAAGCUAUGUGAGAAGAAAACAAGAUUUGAGGGGUUGCUGUAUCAUCGGCUGAGUGACUUUGCUUUUUUGUAUUUACUUUUAAGGGCAGACUUAUCAAGUAGAAAUUGUUUACAUUUAGAUAGUCAUGUUUUUGCCUUCUCAAACUUCUGACAACUGAUUGUCUCAAAAAGCUAAGAGUCUGCUCCUGUAAUGUUAGAACUUUUUGACAUUUUAUGAUUUUUUUUGAAAAAAAAAUGUGACAACAAUAUAAAUAGUUGUUGUUAUGGAGUAUUUUAAACAUAUUUAUUGAAUGCAUUAACCACUUGGAACUUUUUUAAUAAAAGAGCAAUUUUUCAAG